GAUGAACGCUGGCGGCGUGCCUAACACAUGCAAGUCGAGCGGAGUUUAUUAAGGAAGUCUUAGAACGGAAAGAAUAAACUUAGCGGCGGACGGGUGAGUAACACGUGGGCAACCUGCCUUUAGCUGGGGAAUAACACUGGGAAACCAGUGCUAAUACCGCAUAACAUCCAAGUGUGGCAUCACAUUUGGAUCAAAGGAGAAAUCCGGCAAAAGAUGGGCUCGCGUCCGAUUAGAUAGUUGGUAGGGUAAAGGCCUACCAAGUCAACGAUCGGUAGCCGGACUGAGAGGUUGACCGGCCACAUUGGGACUGAGACACGGCCCAGACUCCUACGGGAGGCAGCAGUGGGGAAUAUUGGGCAAUGGGGGAAACCCUGACCCAGCAACGCCGCGUGAAGGAAGAAGGUCUUCGGAUUGUAAACCUCUGUUCUUGGUGACGAAAAGAUGACGGUAGCCAAGGAGAAAGCCCGGCUAACUACGUG
rnacentral:rRNA from 1 species